GAUCCCACAAUUCACGCAAAAGGGACUGAUAUCAAUCUGAACCAAAUAUUCAAAUCUUCUUCUCCUCCAUCUAUUUCAAAUCAUAACAGAUCCAAAAUAGACUAUCACCUUUGCUAAUACAUGAUGGAUAUAUUGAUUUUGUUGAGAUAUUCAGAAAUUUGGGUGAUCUCUGAGUUAUAAACGAUAUAAUAAUGAUAGAAUAGUGGUUGAACAAACAAUUUCUUUCGCGGAUCUCAAAUACGCCAUGCAUUACAACUUAAUUGAAUCUCAAAUCUGUCAUUGAUGCAACAAACAAGAUGACUAGAGAGGCGCAUUGCUUUGAUGCUACAUUCAGUGAAAUUGUUUGUCUUGAAGUUGGGGAAGACAACACCCAAGAGUUUAUCUUGUAUUGUCCGAAAAAAUGGAUCUGCUUAUUCAAUGCUUAAAGUAUUGAAGUAAGUAUACUAUCUUAUUCUUAAGUUGUGAAUUAAUAUUUUUUUUAAAAUUUUUGAUACAUAAGUCGUGAUACAUUGUUAUUCCUGGAAGAAAACACGUUGUUAGCCUUGAGUGAAAAAUAUGUAAUUGUAGGAGAUUUUAACUAGACGAAGUAUCUGUGCACACACAUUUCUUCUUUGAUACUUGUGAAAUUUCGAUUAGACGGAAUAUCUUGUACCAUGAUACAAUACUGACUACAAAAUGGAUACAGUUUUGGUUUGAUA